rnacentral:pre_miRNA from 1 species
AAGAAGCAAACCCUAGAUUUCCGUGUCUAACUUUAACUGUCUGUCUUAUAUGAAAUUUUUUUAUAAUUCGUAUUUUCAUUGUUGUUAGAUGAUAAAACAUGAUUAAUAUUUUAUACGUGACUUGUCUUUUUAAUUUUUUUCAAAUAAAACGGACAGUCAAACGUUGGACACGGAAAGCAGGGUUUGUCUUUUU